CUCCACCGCUCAGCCUCGGUUACUAUAGAGGAGGUGGCAAUACAAUUUCAUUUAGGACCGAACUCACGCUGACACCGGCCAUGUGACGUGAAUCCAGCCCUCGGAUUGGCUGGUUAUUCGGGGCUUUGAACAGCUUCUAUCCGCGGGCUGUAUGUUGUGGGUGGCUGUCAUGGCUACGGCACUCUAGAAAUUUCUUACACAAGUCAAAUUUUUAGUCUGUUGCUUGUGCAUGUCAGCCCAAAAUAAUAUUUGUGCUUAUCUAAUGUAUCUCAGGGUCUGUGUAACCCCUAUUCAGCUACUUCUACCAACUCAGAACAGCAAAAAUUAUCAACAGUUGUUGAGGUGAAGAAAUCACACGAGGUCACAGGACUUCCCAUGAGCCUCUCCUGCCGUAGCGAGAUCAGUCUGCUGAGCCACAGCUCCUCAGCCUUCUCCUUGUCCAUAAACAACUGCAGGACAGCAUAGAGAGACAAAUGAAUAUCCAGCUCCAGCAAUGGCGACAAAACCUGGGGAAUGCCAAGAUCUGUAUGACAUCUGCACGACCAAAGGGGAGCAUUGAAAGAAUGACAAGAUGUGACGCGGUGAUGCUGAUGCCUAUACCUGUCUGACGCCUGUGGCUGCUGGGGUCAACAGGUCACACAAAAUAGAGGAAAAUUCUGACAGGCUGAGCCAGAUGUCCUGCGUGUGUCCCCACGGAGUGUGCGUAUAUAUGUAUGUUUGUGUUUGUAAGUGCGCGAGCAGGGAGAUGUCCAAUGACAGAGCAGGUGGCUAAGCUGGUCUAAUGUGCGUUCCCACGAGACCCCCCCCCCACACACACACACAAUAUGCAGUCACUCAUAGAUUACACCCCCACCCCUUUACAAAAAAGCCACAUGUCUCCAUAACCCAUGUCUCCCAACAAUGCACCUUCAACCACAAACACAUACAGAGGCAAGUGAUCCCCUGUGGUGCUCACCUUGUUAUCGCAGUGUCAACUGGUCUCUGUGGAGAUUGCAGUCCUCAUGACUCCUGUCACUGGCAUCAGGGGCCUGUCACACAUCACUAACGCUCAGUUGUCCCCCUUAAACCUCUUAUAUUAAUUAUCAGCUCCAAAGACUGUGGAGCUUAUUGGAGAAUACCAUAUAUGAUCACAUUCUUGGGAUAAAAUGGCCAUGUAGCCUUGAGCAUUAUUUGACCUUAGCAGAUAAUGGUAUGUGAUAUGUUUAUGCGAUAUCUUAUGCCAUAUCUAUUUGGCGUCAGGAAAUGAAGAGCAGCUGGAGACUGAGUGUCAAACACAUGCGCUCUUCUAGUGUCUCCAAGUGAUAGCGAUCUCCCACUCUCCAGUCAAUAAAGGUCUGAAUGAUGAAUUAAAGACCCAAACAACCUGCUAAUGACAGGAUGACAUGGCAGCCACGCGCCAUGCUUGGCUAUCUCCUUCCACAUCUUCGCUCAUCCCUCCUGACUCACCUCUUCUCUCUCUCUUCUGUCAUUAAACCCCGUUCUGCUCAUCUAUCCUCUGAACUUCCUCUCCUCAACUGAUCCAGGUUCGACUACUCUACAAUAUAUUCUCCCCAUUUGUAAUAAAAUAAAAUCCUGCUACUACAAUUAAA